UGAGGUAGGUGCGAGAAAUGA
ensembl:miRNA mir-241 ncRNA